UUGGAGGGCAAGUCUGGUGCCAGCAGCCGCGGUAAUUCCAGCUCCAAUAGCGUAUAUUAAAGUUGUUGCAGUUAAAAAGCUCGUAGUUGAAUUUCGGAAUUUUUUUAUCGGUUGAAUCAACAGGUUCGUACUGAUUUUAAGAAUUUCUACCUUCUGGAGAACCUUAAUGUCAUUUAUUUGAUGUUUUGGGAAACCAGGACUGUUACCUUGGAAAAAUUAGAGUGUUUAAAGCAGGCUUAUGUCUGAAUAUAUUAGCAUGGAAUAAUGAAAUAGGACGGCAUGGUUCUAUUUUGUUGGUUUCUAGGAUCACCGUAAUGAUUAAUAGGGAUAGUUGGGGGCAUUAGUAUUCAAUUGUCAGAGGUGAAAUUCUUGGAUUUAUUGAAGACUAACUUCUGCGAAAGCAUUUGCCAAGGAUGUUUUCAUUAAUCAAGAACGAAAGUUAGGGGAUCGAAGACGAUCAGAUACCGUCGUAGUCUUAACCAUAAACUAUGCCGACUAGGAAUCGGACGAAGUUAAUUUUUUAAUGACUCGUUCGGCGCCUUACGGGAAAC
rnacentral:rRNA from 1 species